UAAGUUCAGAAAUAAAAAUGAUAUAAAUAAUAAUUAUAAACUAAUAAACAUAUCUGAUAUAAACUUAAAUAAUAUCAAUAAAUAUAAUACAAAUGAUAUAAUAGUGUUGUAUCAUAUUAACCUUGCAAAUAACAAAUUAAAUGAACUUAUGCAAAUUGUUAACGAUAUCAAAAAUAAUGCUAAGUGUUACGCAUCCGUUGGAGAUUGUGCGAAGCCUAUGUCUACUAGUCGUUUGAAUGGCGACGAUAGACAAAAUAGUAACAUCAGUAAUAACAUAAGUAGUGAUAGUAAUAGUCACAAUAAUGACAUUAGUAGUAGCUGCAGUAAUAGUGGUAGUGGAAAGAAUAACAAUAAGGCACAAAAUAAAACAAAGUGCUUGUGCAACCAUAUAGAUAGAAGUAAAAUCGAAAGCUAUAUUAAUAAAGAACUUAUAAAAUUAACAAAUGUAAUUUUAUCCAACGAAUGUUAUAAAAAAAGUGAAUUACAAAAAAGCGAUGACAUGAGUAGUGGUAGUGGUAGUGGUAGUGGUAGUGGCAGUAGCAGUGGUAGAAAUAGAAGUAGUGGUAGUUUUAGUAGAAGGGAUAACGAUUUAAUGAAAUGGGACUUUUAUAUAAAUAGUAAAAAUAACCCGUUAAAAUGUUUUGUUUAUUUAGAUGUGCCUGAGGAUACAGUACUUAUAAAACCACGUAAAAUGCAAGAACCGAAUUUUUUAGUUUCAAUUAAUGCCCUUAAUGAUAUAAGAAGGAAUAAUAAAGAUAUACUAAGAAACAUAUAUUUUAAAAAAUACAACAUAACAUUUGAUUAUAUAUAUAAUAAUUGUAAUUUAUUAACCCUUAUUAUUAAUAAAUGCAUAGAUAAAUCAAAUAUUAUUAACAAUUUCAUUUUUUUUUCAUUAUUAUCAUCUUUUUAUAUUAUGAAAGAUUUCUACUAUGAUGCAUUUUUAUAUUUAUUGAGUAGUGAAUUAAUAUGGAAACCAUAUGUAUAUAACAUCUGGUCUAAUAUAUACCAUACUACAAUACCUUUAAAAUUAUAUAUAAUUAAACAAUUAUACUCUUAUACAAAUAAUAGUAUUAAUAAUAUGGCCCAACAUAUAAUAUACAAACUAAUAAAAAUAGAAACGUUUUUAAUUAAUUAUUGUUUGAAAAAUAAAAUAAAAAAUGAAGCAAAAGAACA
rnacentral:lncRNA from 1 species